AGUGAACGCUGGCGGUAGGCCUAACACAUGCAAGUCGAACGGCAGCACAGUAAGAGCUUGCUCUUACGGGUGGCGAGUGGCGGACGGGUGAGGAAUACAUCGGAAUCUACUUUUUCGUGGGGGAUAACGUAGGGAAACUUACGCUAAUACCGCAUACGACCUACGGGUGAAAGCAGGGGAUCUUCGGACCUUGCGCGAUUGAAUGAGCCGAUGUCGGAUUAGCUAGUUGGCGGGGUAAAGGCCCACCAAGGCGACGAUCCGUAGCUGGUCUGAGAGGAUGAUGAGCCACACUGGAACUGAGACACGGUCCAGACUCCUACGGGAGGCAGCAGUGGGGAAUAUUGGACAAUGUGCGCAAGCCUGAUCCAGCCAUACCGCGUGGGUGAAGAAGGCCUUCGGGUUGUAAAGCCCUUUUGUUGGGAAAGAAAAGCAGCAGGUUAAUACCCCGCUGUUCUGACGGUACCCAAAGAAUAAGCACCGGCUAACUUCGUG
rnacentral:rRNA from 1 species